UCUAACUUGUCUUAUUAAGAUAAGUUAGGAAUUUGUUGUUUACCAUAAAAACAGGAUGUUCUUAGAUAAGAUAAGAUAAGAUUUUGUGGUUAACCACAAAUGGAAUUACGUAGGUUUAACUUGUUCUAACUUGUUUUAUUACGAUAAGAUAUGUUUAUUAACGUGUUCAGACUUGUCUUCUUAUUAAGAAAAGAUAUUUAAGAAGUGGAUGUUAUCAUUUGAUUCAGUUGGCUUCCACGAGUUAUUCGGUAAACAAGUGAGUGAUACCAUUUUUUUAAAUUCUUUUUCACAAAAGAAAUAAGUAAGUGAGUUUUUGAAAUUUUAUUAUUUACUUAAAUUUAUUUUUUAUAAUAGAAAUGGAAAAUAAUCUUCCAAAUUAUUAUAUAAAUAAUUAUGACCCAGAACCUCUAAUUGUUGAUGAACCCUCAGCUUCAACAAAUCUUGAAGACCCUUCAGGCAGUGAAAACAAUGAAGUUGGUCCAGAUGAAAUUUUAUUACAAUUAAAUCAACGAGGUGCAUGUGAAUUGCCUCCACUUAUCAAAAUUGAUUCUCUAAUUCAGAAGAAAGAAUAUAAAAUAAGAAAUCUCAUAAGAUUGAAAACAAAAACAGGAUGGGGCGUUAUAUGCGAAAUUGAUGAGGGUAACUUCUUUGUUCCUCAAAGAAUUGUAUCAACUUUAAAUAACAGAGCCAUAAAAUAUCUGUUAAGUGGAAAAGGUUCCGUAAUAAUUUACUUAGGAAAAAAAAUACGGGACGGGUGAACUGGGCUAAUAUUGUCGAGUUUAAAAAGAUCACAUAAUUAUGUCUGCUUCUCCGUUAACAACAUUAUCAUCAUCAUCAUCAUCAUCAUCACCACCACCACCUCCAUCACCAUCAACAUUAUUGAAAUUCUACGAUGUCCAAAAAAAUAUAAAAUUUUUUUACAAAACGCUAUUUCCGAUUAUGAUUAUAAAACCUUUAAAAAUUUUAUUAGAAACAAGGAAAAAAUUUUAGAAAAUACUCAACAACAAGCAACAAGUUUAGGAGAGGAAAAAAAAUAUGAAUACUACAUUUCAAGAGUAAAAACUUUAUUCACGCAUUUUUAAGAAAAAAUAUCCUCUUCAACAAAAUAUGGAAAAGGUUUACAACAAGAUAUACGUCAGAAAAUUUCCUUUGUUAAAAUUUCAUCAGCUUUUAAUAAUCGGCUACGAACUUAUUUAAUCAGCAAUAAUUAUUACAUAGAACCGAAAUAUUUUUUUGAACAUUGCAAGGAAAUUCUAAUUAUCAAAUUUGAAAAAAUUUUACGAAAAUUAGGAGCUUUUAAAAUUAACAUUAUAUUAAAUUGUAUUUAUCAAUUAAAAGUAACUAAAGAACAUGCCUUUCGAAGUUUUAACACCCAGAAUCAAUCAGUCUUUCACUCUGAAGAAAUUCCUUCAAUUUUAGAAAAUUUAUUUGAUGCUAUAUUAAAUCAGAUGGAUGAUUUCACUGAAAAUAAGUCUGGUGAAGCAUUAGAAAGUAUUGAAAAUUUGAUGAUUUCCAUAAACAAAUUAUCGAUAUUUAAUAUAUCGCAAAAUGAAGAAGAAGAUACCACCUCCCAUUCUAGUGACUCUGGGGGAACAUACAUUCCUCUUCCUAUUGAGCUGAAAGGAAAAGGUUCUUGUUUUAUUAAUAUUUUUAAUAAGGAUAAUUAUUGUUUUGUUUAUUCUAUCUUGGCUGCACUUUUUCCUGUUAAUCACUCUAAAUAUGAGAGAGUUGAAUCUUAUCCUAGUAAUGUUCAUGAAAUUUUAAACUUAAAAAAUAUUGAAAUGCCUGUUAAAAUAAAAGAUAUUUCCAAAUUUGAAAAACAGAAUCCUACUAUUUCUAUUAAUGUAUUUAAAUUCAACGAAAAAACCCGACAAAUUGAUGGUCCUAUUUAUCAUACAAAAAAUGUAAAAGAAAAACAUAUAAAUUUAUUAUAUUUAACUAAAAAUGAGCAUCAAAUAUUUUUUUGUGAUCGUUGUUUACAACAUAUUCCUUCGAAAUCAAAAGAUAAAAUUGAUAGACAUAAACGGGAUUGUUCAACAUUUCCUGCAGUUAAAACAAGCUUACCUGAACCGAAUUCUCCAGAAAGUCUUUUACAUUUUUCACAGUUUAAGUCAUUGCUACGUUUACCAUUUGUUAUAUAUGCAGACUUUGAAUGUUUAACAGUUCCAUUAGAUACUUGUUACCCCAAUACAAAAAAUUCUUUUACGAAUCCAUAUCAAAAACAUGUUGCCUAUAGUAUAGCAUAUUUUAUUAAAUGUUCUUUUGAUAGUAAAUUAGAUAGUUUUAAGACUUACAGAGGAGAAAAGCCUCAAGAGUGGUUUAUUUCAGAAUUAAAAGAAAUUUGCAAAUUUGUAAAUAAAAUAUUGUUAAAACAAAAGAAAAUACUAAAUAAACCUUUAUCAGAAUUAGAAAAAGAGUUACAUGAAACAACUAAUAAUUGUAAUUUAUGUGGUUGCAAUUUUAUAGAUAAUAAUAAAAAAGUUAUACAUCAUAACCAUUUAACUGGUGAAUUUAUUUCUACAAUAUGCAAUAAUUGUAAUUUACAAAUUCAAAUUUCAAAUAAGUUGCCAGUUUUUUUACAUAAUUUGUCUGGAUAUGACGCUCACCUUUUUAUUACAGAAUUUAUUAAUAAUUUUUCAAAUACUGAAAUAAUACCAUUGAAUCAUGAAAAUUAUAUUUCAUUUUCAGGAAUACAUUGUAACAUGAAAAUUACGUUUUUAGAUUCUUUUCGCUUUCUACCUACAUCAUUAGAUAAACUUGUAUCUUUUUUAAAGCUAAAUCAGUUUUCUCUUAUGAAAGCUUUUUUCCCCAAUGUUACAGAUGAUGUUUUUCAAUUAUUAUUAAAAAAAGGAGUAUUUCCGUAUGAUUAUAUCACUUCCUCAUCUGUCUUCGAAGAUACUUAAUUACCAACAAAACCACAAUUUUUCAAUCGAAUGAUAAAUAAACAUAUUUCAGAUAAAGAUUAUUUUCAUGCACAGAAUGUUUGGGAAAAAUUUGGAAUUAAAACUUUAGGAGAAUACUCCGAUUUAUAUUUAAAAUGUGAUGUAAUUCAAUUAGCUGAUGUUUUCGAAAAUUUUCGCGACUUAACAAUGAAAUAUUACCAACUUGAUGCUGCAUCCUUCUAUACUAGUCCAGGCCUUUCAUGGGCAGCUGCUUUAAAAAUCACAAAAGUUAAACUUGAAUUGUUUACCGAUAGUGAAAUGUUUUUGUUUAUCGAAAAAUCAAUACGCGGAGGAAUUACUCAAGCGGUACAUAGAUAUGCUGAAUGUAAUAAUACACAUUAUUCAAAAACAUAUGAUCCUACAAAACCUAUAGAUUAUCUUUUUUAUAUCGAUGCUAACAAUUUAUAUGGCUGGGCUUUAAGUCAAAAGUUACCUAUUGGAAAUUUUCAUUGGUUAUCAACAAAUGAAAUUAAUGAAAUUUUCGCUGAGCCUCAAAAAUUAAAUACUAAUGAUAACAAAGGGUUUAUUUUAGAAGUUGACUUAUAUUAUGUUAAAAGUAUACACGAUGAACAUGAUGAUUUUCCUUUUUGUCCUGAACCACGAAAUUCAAAGUUAAUGUGUACGUUAUAUGAUAAACAAAAUUACGUUAUACAUUAUAAAAAUUUGUUACAGUGUAUAAAAUAUGGUUUACAAAUUAAAAAAAUUCAUCGAGUUUUAACAUUUGACCAAGACGCAUGAUUAAAACCUUAUAUUGAAUUUAAUACAAAAUUGCGUAUGGAUGCUAAAAAUGAAUUCGAGAAAGGAUUUUUUAAACUUUUAUUAAAUUCUAUCUUUGGAAAAACAUUAGAAUCAGACCGGAAAAAACGUAAAAUUGUAUUAGUAAAAAAUUGGAAACAAGCCAGAAAAUACAUUCUAAAACCAGAAUUUAAAAACGUUAAAAUACUAAAUAAGAAUUUAGUUAGCAUCGAAUUAAGUAAAACCGAAAUCAAAAUGAAAAGGCCAAUCUACGUAGGAUUUACUGUUUUAGAAUUAUCAAAAAUUAUUAUGUACGAUUUUCAUUACGAUUUUAUUAAUAAGCAAAUAAAAAAUUAUUUUCAAUCAAAAUUAUUAUAUAUGGAUACUGAUAGUUUUAUUUAUAAAAUGACAUGUAAAAAAGAAAAUUAUUCGCUUUAUGAUCUAAUACGAGAUUUUGCAAAUUCAAAAUUUGAUACUAGUGAUUAUGAUGUAAAUAAUAUUUGGAAUAUUCCUCUUGUAAAUAAAAAAAUUCCAGGAUUAAUGAAAGAUGAAUUGAAUGGUAAAAUUCUUACAGAGUUUAUUACUCUAAGACCAAAA